rnacentral:rRNA from 1 species
AGAUGGGAUUCCUGGUGUAGCGGUGGAAUGCGCAGAUAUCAGGAGGAACACCAAUGGCGAAGGCACAUCUCUGGGCUGUAACUGACGCUGAGGAGCGAAAGCGUGGGGAGCGAACAGGAUUAGAUACCCUGGUAGUCCACGCCGUAAACGGUGGGUGCUAGCUGUGGGCCACCAUUCCACGUGGUCUGUGUCGCAGCUAACGCAUUAAGCACCCCGCCUGGGGAGUACGGCCGCAAGGCUAAAACUCAAAGGAAUUGACGGGGGCCCGCACAAGCGGCGGAGCAUGCGGAUUAAUUCGACGCAACGCGAAGAACCUUACCAAGGCUUGACAUAUAGAGGAAAAGUGUAGAAAUACACUCCCCGCAAGGUCUCUAUACAGGUGGUGCAUGGUUGUCGUCAGCUCGUGUCGUGAGAUGUUGGGUUAAGUCCCGCAACGAGCGCAACCCUCGUCCUAUGUUGCCAGCACGUAAUGGUGGGAACUCAUGGGAUACUGCCGGGGUCAACUCGGAGGAAGGUGGGGAUGACGUCAAAUCAUCAUGCCCCUUAUGUCUUGGGCUUCACGCAUGCUACAAUGGCCGGUACAGAGGGCUGCAAUACCGCAAGGUGGAGCGAAUCCCAAAAAGCCGGUCUCAGUUCGGAUUGAGGUCUGCAACUCGACCUCAUGAAGUCGGAGUCGCUAGUAAUCGCAAAUCAGCAACGUUGCGGUGAAUACGUUCCCGGGCCUUGUACACACCGCCCGUCAAGUCAUGAAAGUCGGUAACACCCGAAGCCGGUGGCCCAACCUUUUGGAGGGAGCUGUCGAAGGUGGGAUCGGUGAUUAGGACUAAGUCGUAACAAGGUAGCCGUACCGGAAGGUGCGGCUG